UGGAGCUCAUCAUAAGAGCAUAAUCAUUUUCUCUUCCUUUGGCAGUACGGGCACACGAGGGCCAGCCUGCUUUUGAGGAACAGCAUGAGGAUGUCGGUGUCGAUGCUCAGCAGUGGAAGGAAGCUUCUUUUGGAGGCCAAGAAGAUGAAGUGGAAAGUGGGCCCGGCAUUGAAGGUGACAGUUCCCAGCCAUCGGGGACGGACCGAGUAUGCGAGCAGGUGCCUGACGCGGCCACUGACCCGGGAGGCACGGAUCGGGAGGUGAGGGAGCCGUGUUGGCAUGGUAGGGGAAAGGAUGAGUCUGGAAUGUGGCUGUUGGUGGAGAUGCACGGCAGGGAGCCGGACACGGGAGGGAGGGGGCGAACAGAGCAUUGUGAGAAGGUAGGUCAGCACGUGACAACGGAGGGGUCGUGCAGUGCGAGCACCUAUGUGACUAGUUAACGAAGGGACUCACAAAACUACAUGCAAAGCGGGAUGUCUGCCCCGAGCUCGUCGGGCAAGGCGCCGUAGGUGGCGGCGGCCACGACAUCCAGCCUCAUUAGAGCGUGGGCGAGCGGAAGUUCACGGCGCUUCCGAGGAGGCUGUCGUUGCGGAAGUGGCCGGCGUUGAGUGGUGCGACGCUGAGUGAUGGCACCGCACGUUUGGAGAUGAAGAGUGUCCGUGUGACCGCAGCCCCAUCCUACGUAGCCUGUGUGGCCUUUUUAAAGGAUGGCUUUUGAGCCCCCGGAUUUGGAAGCGAAGCUGAGGGGCCGAUGCGGUCUUUGUGCAGGUGGCCGGUCGGUUGCGGGAAGCG